AAAGGUGUGAAGACACUUUUGAUAAACGAAAUUACAAUUUUCUGUUCUCGAAGAGAGAAAGAAAGAGAGAGAGAGAGAGAGAUAGGAUCUCGUUGAACACCCAUGAAGAGCUCUUCGAACAUCUUGUUACUCGAUAUUCAAUUCAGGUAUUGAAUCAAUUCAGUGUGUUUGUAGAGCGAUUGUCACGUUACUUAAAGAAACUAAGAUUUUUAUUCCAGAACGAAUAAACCGAGGAUGAAACAAGUUUUUUUUUUUCAACAUAACGUGCGUGGAAGCAGAAACUGUUUCGAGUGACGUGACAAUUCUUUUUCAAUCAAGUACGUAAUUUUCGAUCGAGAGAUGAACAGUGCGAAAGAAGACAUGUUCCAUUCCAUCGAGUGCUGUGAUGCAAGUAUAAUAUACAUACUUAAUAGGAUCGAUUUUCUUUUUCUUUUUUCGCGAACAACACGUGCAAUUAUUACUUAAUACUUUAAAGAAGAAAAGAUAAAUUGUUGGAAGCGGUUUGAGUGCUUCUCGAAGAGAAUGGCUUGCUAACAAUAUUGCAUA